rnacentral:lncRNA from 1 species
AUAAAUAGUCUUAAUUGUUAGGACUUCCAUAUAUUGUGGCCCAAUUAAUUAUAUUUAAAUUAGAAUUUGCUAUAGGUAUAUUUUAUCCCCAUCCCAUCUAUUUUAAGUGUAAAUAGAAUCCUAAUCAGACUUUGAUGGGAAGUCGAUCUGGACUCUAUAUAAAGGGGUAUUAGUCCUGCCACCUUCUCAUACGCAUUUUGGUGAAGAAUUAUCAUCGGUUCCACACCAUACGGCAGAGUGCCUGAAAUAGGAGGAGAAACCAAAUCACCCAAGUUCGGUUCGUGACUUUCAGAUCAUAACCGGACUUCACGCUUCCGCAAGUUAAUCAGAAAUUUCUUCUCGAUGGCGCUCUGUGAGUUUUUUUUUUUUUUUUUAUCCUGAAUUUUGGUAUGUAUUUAACUUGCUUCUUGUUUUACAUACCGUAAA